GACGAACGCUGGCGGCGUGCUUAACACAUGCAAGUCGAACGGAAAUUCUCUGCUUGCAGGUUGCUCGAGUGGCGAACGGGUGAGUAACACGUGGGUGAUCUGCUCCUUACUUUGGGAUAAGCCUGGGAAACUGGGUCUAAUACUGGAUAGGACCAUUCUUUAGGCGUUGUGGUAGUUAGAGUAGUUUCGGUAAGUGAUGAGCUCGCGUCCUAUCAGGUUGUUGUGGGGGUAAUGGCCUAACACGGCGUCGUCGGGUAGCCGGCCUGAGAGGGAGGAAGACAACAUUGGAACUGCGACACGGGGCAGCAUCAUACGGGCGGCAGCAGUGGGGAAUAUUGAGAUAUAGGAGCGAGGCUGAUGCAGCGACGGUGCGUGGGGCAUGAAGGCCUUCGGGUUGUAAACUCCUUGCAGCAAUGAAGAAGCCCUUGUGGUGACGGUAGUGGUCGAAGAAGCACCGGCUAACUACGUG
rnacentral:rRNA from 1 species